GCAGACAAAUGGUCUUGCGUAGAGCGCCAGAAACAGGUAAGUUCUCCCCUGCAAUAUGGAUCACAGGCGUCUGAGUGACCCAGGCCAGUUCCCCAUGAAAAGGUAAGCUUACUCCUAAAAGAUGCGAACGAGUUGAAUUAAUGAUGUUGGACCAAUAACGAAGAAAGGACAAUUUUGAUUCCUUCAUUAGGCAUUCUUCUUCUACUUCUGCAAAACCCAUGACAAUGGAUGAGUGACUGUGGGCCAAUCACCAGGAAAAGAUGAGUUUUACGCCUACAGUGGAGAUGAAAGGCAGACAAGUGGUCUUGCGUAGAGCGCCAGGAACAGGCAUUCUAAUACUUCUGCAAAACCCAUGACAAUGGAUGAGUGACUGUGGGCUGAUCAACAGGAAAAGGUAAAUUUUAAGCUUCCAGUGAGUGAUCUUGCAUUGAGUGCCAGGAACAGGUAACUUCUCCUCCUGAAAUACGGAUCACAGGCAUCUGAGUGACCCAGGCCAGUUGCCCACAAAAAGGUAAGUUCUGUUCCUAACACAUGCGAACGAGUUGAAUUAAUGAUGUUGGACCAAUAACAAAGAAAGGGCAAUUUUUAUUCCUUCAUUAGGCAUUCUUCUACUUCUGCAAAACCCAAGAUUGUGGAUAAGUAACUGUGGGCUGAUCACCAGGAAAAGGUGAGUUUUACGCCUACAUUGGAGACGACAGGGAGACGAGUGGUCUUGUGUAGAGAGCCAGAUACAGGUAAGUUCUCCUCCUGCAAUGUGAAUGACAGGCAUCUGAGUGACCUAGUCCAGUUCCCCAUGAAAAGGUGAGUUCUACUCCACGGAUCACAGGCAUUUGAGUGACCCAGGCCAGUUCCCUACAAAAAGGCGAGGUCUACUCCUACAAGAUGCGAAUGAGUUGAAUUAAUGAUGUUGGACCAAUAACUAAGAAAGGACAAUUUUUAUUCCUUCAUUAGGCAUUCUUCUUCUACUUCUGCAAAACCGAUGACAGUGGAUGAGUGACUGAGGGCUGAUCCACAGGAAUAGGUGAGUUUUACCCCUACAGUGGAGAUGAAAGACAGAUGAGUGGUCUUGCGUAGAGCGCCAGAAACUGGUAAGUUCUCCUCCUGCAAUACAGAUCACAGGCGUCUGAGUGACCCAAGCCAGUUCCCUACGAAAAGGUGAGUUCUACUCCUAUAAGAUGCAAAUAAUUUGAAUUAAUGAUGUUGGAUUAAUAACCAAGAAAGCCCGAUUUCUAUUCCUUCAUUAGGCAUUCUUCUUCUACUUCUGCAAAACCCAUGACAGUGGAUGAGUGACUGUGGGCUGAUCACCAGGAAAAGAUGAGUUGUACGCCUACAGUGGAGACAACAGGCAAGUGAGUGAUCUUGCAUAGAAUGCCAGAAACAGGUAAGUUCUCCUCCUGCAAUACGGAUCACUGGCAUCUGAGUGACCCAGGUCAGUUCCCCACAAAAAGGUAAGUUCUAUUCCUAACACAUGCGAACGAGUUGAAUUAAUGAUGUUGGACCAAUAACGGAGAAAGGACAAUUUUUAUUCCUUCAUUAGGCAUUCUUCUUCUACUUCUGCAAAACAGAUGACAGUGGAUGAGUGACUGUGGGCUGAUCACCAGGAAAAGAUGAGUUUUACGCCUACAGUGGAGAUGAAAGGCAGACAAAUGGUCUUGCGUAGAGCACCAGAAACAGGCAUUCUUCUUCUACUUCUGCAAAACCCAUGACAGUGGAUGAGUGACUCACCAGAAAAGUAUGCAAGGAGACAUCUUCUUCUGCAAUACCCAUGACAGCAGCUGAGUGAAUUUGGGCUGAUCUCUCCAAGAAAGAUGUUUUUUACUUCUGUAGGAGAGACAAGAGGCAUCUCAGUGGUCUUACUUGGAGCGCUAGGAAGAGGUAAGUUUUUCUCCUGCAAUAUGAAUGACAGAUGUCUGAUCAUGUUUACUUCCCAAGGAAAUUGUGAGUUGUACUCCUGCAAUAUACAUGACAGCCCGCCCAUGAAUAUUGUAUCAAUAAUCAAGAUAAGGUAACUUACAUUUCUGUAGUAGGCUUGGUGAGGUCUAUUCCCGCAAUUCCUAGGACAUGCCAAUGAGUUACUUUUGGAAGAAAACCUGGAAAAGGUGAGUUUUACUCCUGUGAUAUGAAAGACAGCAAGCUUAGUGAGAUUGGUCAAAUAAACAAGAAAGUUAUUUCUAUUCCUGCUGUAGGUAUUGUGAGAUCUACUCCUGCAGUUCUACAACAGGCUUCUGAGUGACUUUGUGCUGAUUACCAG